AACGCACCUUGCGCCUCUUGGUAUUCCGAGAGGCAUGCCUGUUUGAGUGUCACGAAAUCUCAAUCCCCGAGGGUUUUUGUAACCCGCGGUGGACUUGGACUUGGGUGUCUGCCUCCCCAGGCUCGCCUCAAAUGUAUCAGUGGGAUCCGGUGGUCUAUGCCCGACGUAAUAAGUUUCGUCUCGGCCGAUCGCCUGGGCCCGCUCACAACACCCCAUAUACCUUUGACAUUGACCUCAAAUCAGGUAGGGCUACCCGCUGAACUUAA
rnacentral:misc_RNA from 1 species